UUGCUACUCCCUCCGUCCAACAAAGGAUGUUUGAAGUUUCUCAAAAUUUGAAUGUAUCUAGACUUGACUUAGUGUAUAGAUACAUUCAAAUUUAGUUAAAGUUGAGACAUCUUUUGUUGGACGGAGGGAGUACUUG
rnacentral:pre_miRNA from 1 species